rnacentral:lncRNA from 1 species
GAGCCUCGGGGGCGACUCCACCUAAUUCAAGGGAGCCGAUCCCUGACAACGGUGGGGUUUUUUUCAGCGCCGGAGCCGGUGACAGAGGUGCCCAAUUCGCAGCCCCGAGGGCGCGGGGGCCCCGAGGGUGAGUACGGGGGAAGGGCUGGGAGCCCGGGGACCGGCUGGCCCUGACCACGGCUUCUGCCCUGGCAGAUGUGGUGCCUGCCCGGGGCACCGCGGUCCCAUCGCAGUCCUGCGGCCCGUGCCUGGCGCUCGUGCUCCUGGCCCCGCUCUGGAUCUGACCCCGGCGCUGCCCGUGGCGGGGGGAUGGGCUCCCCUGCCCCGACGCCGCUUCCAGACUCUUCCUCACAGCCAAACCCCCCAAGCCCGUGGGGCAGCCCCAGGCCAUGACCCGCCUGCUGGACCUCCGCAAAGCCGAGCUGGGGCCGGGAGCUCCGGGCCGGAAGGACCGUCGCUUGCCACCGGCAUCAGCGCACAUCGGGAUCGCCACGAGUCGGCAUCGCCGCGCGCCGGGAUUGCCACGCCCUGGCGCUGUCCCGCCGGCCACCUGCCCCGGUGCCGGGGUCCCCUCAGCGAACGCCUGCUCUGCCCCACGGCUAUCACCUCAUCUCGUGCCUUUCCCCAUGGACCCCCGGCUCUGGGGCCCAGGGACCCCCAACCCCGGCGCGGGGCAGCCGCCCCCCCCCCCCCCCCCCCCCCCUCCGAUGGCGGCAUCCGCCGCUGCCGUGUCCUCCUCCAGCGAGGACACGCUGAUCUGUCUUCUGGGAAGACGCCUUCCUCCGUGCCCUCGGUUUGGUUUUAACCCCUGGUAGUGACUGAGCAAUACAGUAUUUGCAAGAUCGCUGCGCCCCGGGUGUGCGGCCCCCCCGGCGUCCCCCUGCCCGUGCCCCCCAUCCCUGCAUCCUUCCUCCAGGGGGGUCCCUGCCCCUUGUUCCCCGCACAGCCUUUGUGGCCGAGGGCUUGACU